UGGGGAAUAUUGGACAAUGGGGGCAACCCUGAUCCAGCAAUGCCGCGUGUGUGAAGAAGGCCUGAGGGUUGUAAAGCACUUUCAGUGGGGAGGAGGUUUAAUUGGUUAAGAGCUGAUUAGAUGGACGUUACCCACAGAAGAAGCACCGGCUAACUCCGUGCCAGCAGCCGCGGUAAUACGGAGGGUGCGAGCGUUAAUCGGAAUUACUGGGCGUAAAGGGUGCGUAGGUGGUUAAUUAAGUUAUCUGUGAAAUCCCUGGGCUUAACCUGGGCAGGUCAGAUAAGACUGGUUGACUCGAGUAUAGGAGAGGGUAGUGGAAUUUCCGGUGUAGCGGUGAAAUGCGUAGAGAUCGGAAGGAACAUCGGUGGCGAAGGCGGCUACCUGGCCUGAUACUGACACUGAGGCACGAAAGCGUGGGGAGCAAACAGG
rnacentral:rRNA from 1 species